GCCCACGCCCGGCCGCCCGCCCGUCCUCUGCGCCGGGGACAAGUCCUUCCACCGAGGCCGGGUCCCCGCGCCUUCCCUAGCGCCCUGCCUCUCUUUGGCCGCGCUCGCAGGACCGCCUGUAGGAGAGUGAAGCCCCAGGGUUUCCUUGCUGAUGGAGUCCCCCACCUUCCCCAGCCUUCCUGUUCCCGGGCUGGUUACGGCGGCGAAGGGAGACCUUGCCUCUCCCCAGCCUUGGAAGCAGAGGGCUGGAGGUGGCCUUAUGUCCACUGCCUGCGACUCUGGACUUGAAGGGAAGAAGUAAUCGAUCAUGAUGACCGUGAAAGAAACACGUCUCCCUUCAUCCCAGGACCCCUGGUGGACACUGGGUGGUUUAGCAUCCGGACUAUGGAGAUGCUUUGGAGGUGUUGGCAGGACUACGGUUGAGCCCUUAUUUGAUAUUUACCGAUUGAGAAAGAACCAAGAUUAAGAGGCCUGGAACUCAUCAGGGGUAUUUUAUUUAUCCUGCCUUUUCCUCAUUUCCUCUCCUGCUGUCAUGCUUGUUUAUUGAGCACCUACUGUUUAUGGGAAGAAAAGAUAAUAGACAAGAUACUUGACCUCAAACCCAUGAAAAUUUAAUAGUUACAUGUCAUCAUCCUCGGGCCAGCAGCGGUAUGUGUUCUGGUCUUGCUUCCUGGACCACCCAGAAGAGACUUUAUAGCCCCAGCCAUCAGGGGUAUAGUGUGUGCCCAGUGUGUUUUCUAUCCCUGGCUUCCAAAAAGUCCUGGAAGAAAGAAUAGGUGUGACCAGAAAGUCCUUCACCUCCGGAAUCUAAGUGGAUAUGUUUAGGGAGCAUUGAGGUCAAGGAUCUGCCUCACUAUCCUUCCACCUUUGGCUCUGCUUGCAGUGGCUCUGGUUCUAUCCAUGCUUUUACUAAGCCUGCAAAUUCUGUAAAGCAGGAAACUACAAAAACGUUACAAAAGGCUCUGUCAAAAGAUUCUUCAAGUGAUUAAGGAUAGCACACUCUGCAUAGGAAAUGAAGCCCUCGGAGAGAUUUGAAGAAGCCCUUGGAGAGAUUUGAGAUAUCCCUAACGGAGAAAGAAUUGACCUUCAUUAUCUCAGGAAGGCUUUUGACAUAAAAGAGAAAGAGAAGAAACUGAUUACUUAAAGAGGAGAGAGAGCUGUAAAGAGAACUACGAGGAUGAGCAUCAGGCUUAAAGUGGCUUAAUUUAUAAACGGAUAAUUUAAAAAUAGAAUUGGAACAUUAAGCCUUAAUAUGACCUAUACUCCUCGCAAUCCAGAAGUGAAGGGAGAAAUGUGGACAUGAGAGGGGCACAGAGGAAGACUACCUGAAGACACACAGAGAGAAGGUGACCACGUGGUUGGAGUGGAGCAUCUACAAACCAACACACAUACCAAGGAUUGCUGGCAAGUAUCACCAGAAGCUAGAAGAGGCAAGAAAGGAUUCUCCCCAAAGCUGUCAGCAAAAACACAGCACUGAUGGUACCUUGAUUUCAGACUUUUAGCCCCGAAACUGUGAGAGAGUAAAUUUCUGUUGUUUUAGGUGACCUGUUUUUUGGAAUUUGUUAUGUCAACUGUAGGAAAUGGAUAUUGUACAACGAUUGGGGCAUGACUUUGCAAUGGUUUACCUGCUCUCAGAUGAAAAUUUUUUUUUUUUGUUUUUUUUUUAGAUGGAGUCUUGCUCUGUUGCCCAGGCCAGAGUGUAGUGGUGCCAUCUUGGCUCACUGCAACCUCUACCUCCCGGGUUCAAGCGAUUCUCCUGCCUCAGCCUCCCGAGUAGCUGGGACCACAGCACACCACCAGGCCUGGUGAAUUUUUGUAUUUUUAGUAGAGAAAGGGUUUCACCAUGUUGGCCAGGCUGGUCUCAAACUCCUGACCUCAAGUGAUCUGCUCGCCUCAGCUUCCCAAAGUGCUGGGAUUACAGGUGUGGGCCACCACACCCUGUCUCAGAUGAAAGGUUAAUAUAAUUAAGGAACAUCUUUUUUGUUUUUUUUUUCAGAAAUUGGAAUGGGGGAGUAGCUGAACAGAAAAGUCCAUCUUGUUCAAUUCCCACAAGAACAUUUCUUUGCAAUAUUAUUGGCAGGAAUAUGCAGUAAAGUUCUAAUAACUAUUUACUCCUUUCUUUGAAACUCUAUUCAGUUAUAAUGUGUCCUGUAAAAAGUAUGACACUGAUUUCAUAGUACCAAUUUUAGCCUAAUACAUAUUUAAAUGAUUCCCAAUGUAUAAAGAUAUUUUAGUAAUAAGAAAUUAUUUAAGGAUCCCAAACAUCACAAUAAACAUAAAGCCUAGUUUUAGGUUGCAAAAAAGUAUCAAACUUUAUAAGUUUUAGUGCAAAUUAAGAGAAAUUACAUUCUAACUACACUAAUAACUGAAAACUUCAUAUUAGGCAAAUAAUGUCUUCAACUACUCAAAUUAUAGGAGCCCACUUCAAGAACCUCAGUAAGAAGAAAUUUUGAAUGGUUUAAAAAUAAUAAAUGCCAUGACAUUUUAAAUGGAAAUUUGGCAUAUUUUUGAGAUAAAUAUGAUUGGAUACAUGUGUGUGCCAUUCUUUUAUCUCUUCUUACUUUUACUGUAUCUCUACUUUAAUGAUGACAAUAAUAUGGCUACAGACAUGAAAUGGUUUAUCUUUCUUCUUUUCUUUCACUCUUUCAUUUAAAGCAUUUAUAUUAUUUUUUAUUGAUGUCAAUGUUAACAUUUUGGCAUCCUUCCCAAGUAUAUUGCAAGAAAUACAUCAAUAAAAACUUAAAUUUAAAAAAUAUGUAGUCUGGGGCCAGAUAAUAAUGGCAUAUUUCUUUAAAAUUAGGUAUAAAGGAGUACAGACGAGGUCAAAAUUCUAAAAUUGGAAUCUUGCCAUUAACAAACAGAACUGACAUUCUGAUACUUCUAUCUGCUGUGGACGUGACACAGAGACUUACCAAAGCCAAGAUACAUUUAUUCAAGGAGGAGCAACUUGCCUUUAUACUUAUACCUUUGUUAAUAACUUGUUUAAAGCAAUCCUUUGUUUUCUUUGCAUAUUUGAAUUGAUUUGCUAAAAGUUAUCUACUGUUAAAUAAGCAAAACUCAAAAUUUUCAAGCAUAUGGGACUUGUUCAGAAUCAGUUUUUAGUUUCUUUUUCAGGAUUUUGUACAAGUUGCAAGAGAAGAGACACAAAAUUAUCUUAUUAAUUCUAUUGCAAUAUGGAGAUACAUUUUAAACAAAUGGAAAUAAUCAAUAUUAGUAUUAUCUGUAUAUUUGUGUGUGUGUGUGUUGAUCUGACUAUAUUUUUCUUCAAAGGGAAAUCACAAAGGCCAAGUGUGUUUAUCAGGUAACUCACCUUAAGAAAACUUGUACUAUGUGAAAAGUCAAUUUCUUUAAAAACUGUCACCAACUCAACCCUGGUUUGUAAGUAGAAAAAACUAUCAAUUAUUUUUUAACAAUAGUAAUACUCCCAAGGUAUAUACUUCUGCCACAAAAAAUUAAGAAUAGUUUACUUAGCACGUUUUGUCAUUGUGGAAAUCAUUGAGAAAAAUCACAGUGGAAAGUUAUUUGAAAAGGCAUAACUGUCAUUAGAAAGAAAUUAAGAAUAAAGAAGGCAGGCCUGGCGUGGUGGCUCAUGCCUGUAAUCCCAGCACUUUGGGAGGCUGAGGUGGGUGGAUCUCCUGAGGUCGGGAGUUCAAGACCAGCCUGACUAACAUGGAGAAACCCCAUCUCUACUAAAAAUACAAAAUUAGCCGGGGUGGUGGCACAUGCCUGUAAUCCCAGCUACUCGGGAGGCUGAGGCAGGAGAAUUGCUUGAACCCAGGAGAUGGAGGUUGCGGUGAGCUGAGAUGGUGCCAUUGCACUCCAGCCUGGGCAAAAAG
ensembl:lncRNA novel transcript